rnacentral:rRNA from 1 species
AGUGAACGCUGGCGGUAGGUCUAACACAUGCAAGUCGAACGGCAGCACAGUAAGAGCCUGCUCUUACGGGUGGCGAGUGGCGGACGGGUGAGGAAUACAUCGGAAUCUACUUUUUCGUGGGGGAUAACGUAGGGAAACUUACGCUAAUACCGCAUACGACCUACGGGUGAAAGCAGGGGAUCUUCGGACCUUGCGCGAUUGAAUGAGCCGAUGUCGGAUUAGCUAGUUGGCGGGGUAAAGGCCCACCAAGGCGACGAUCCGUAGCUGGUCUGAGAGGAUGAUCAGCCACACUGGAACUGAGACACGGUCCAGACUCCUACGGGAGGCAGCAGUGGGGAAUAUUGGACAAUGGGCGCAAGCCUGAUCCAGCCAUACCGCGUGGGUGAAGAAGGCCUUCGGGUUGUAAAGCCCUUUUGUUGGGAAAGAAAAGCAGCAGGUUAAUACCCCGCUGUUCUGACGGUACCCAAAGAAUAAGCACCGGCUAACUUCGUG